GUCGAGAAUCUUUCACAAUGGGGGCAACCCUGAUGGAGCGACGCCGCGUGGAGGAUAAGGUCUUCGGAUUGUAAACUCCUGUCAUGCGUGAACAAGGUUGCUUGGUUAAUACCUGGGCAAAUUGAUGGUAACGCAAGAGGAAGAGACGGCUAACUCUGUGCCAGCAGCCGCGGUAAUACAGAGGUCUCAAGCGUUGUUCGGAAUCACUGGGCGUAAAGGGUGCGUAGGUGGCGUGGUAAGUCAGAUGUGAAAGCCCGGGGCUCAACCUCGGAACUGCAUCCGAUACUGCCAUGGUAGAGUACUGGAGGGUUGACUAGAAUUCUCGGUGUAGCAGUGAAAUGCGUAGAUAUCGAGAGGAAUACCAAAGGCGUAGGCAGGUCACUGGACAGUUACUGACACUGAGGCACGAAGGCCAGGGGAGCGAACGGGAUUAGAUACCCCUGUAGUCC
rnacentral:rRNA from 1 species